CGUUGAGAUCUUCCUACCAAAAUCCUUCAUCAACGUCGCUUUGUCUAUUAUCCGUUCCCGUCACAGAGCAGCGGCGGAACAACAUGCCUCUCUGCUUCCUCUCCGUCCGUCCUCCUCCCCCUCGUCUCAUCGCCUGCCACGUGUCCCCAGUCGCAGUGCGCCCUUGGCCGUCUGCUUCAGCACCACGACAAGUACCAGCAGCACUACCUUCUCUGGGUUCUCUCUCACUAAGCGCUAGCUCGACUCCGCCGCCGCUAACCUGCGCCCUCCACUGCCCUCACUUCGAAUCGUGCUCCGGGUGUACGCACGGGUCCAAUCUCCACCGUCCGGUCAUCGUCGGCGAGGCGCCGGAGUUCUGCAAGACAGUUGGAGUCUCAGAUUUCACUUUUGACAGUUGCAAAAUUGCUCAUCAUCCAAAGAGGAUUGCAAGGAUUUGUUGUCUAGCAAGGCAUGGCACUUGGAAAAAGCCCUUGGCUAUAAUUUUAGUCCUGGAACCCCGAGGAAAGCUGCUAGUUCGUUGGUUGAGGUGAAGACGUUUUCAGCUCCCCUUCUCUCUGCCUGCAGAUUUUGCGAGAUGUGGAAAGGCAUUCAAAAUGUUGUAGGCUAUUAAAUCCUGCCUGGUUAAGAUCCCAACCACUGGAGGCACCUACAAAUGGAGCAAACAUCGAGGUUAGUGAUUUGGCCUUUACAAAAAGUAUAGUGUACCGUCUUGAAUAACUAUGCUCAAUCGACAGAAUAAAUAUGCUCGUGCGGAAGUAAACUGUAACUCCGUUAACAAGUGCAUGGUGUUUCUUAAAAUGAGAAUGGUUGAUGACAACUCACCCGAGAUGCUUCAUAAUUUGGCACAACGAGCAAAUGGCGAAGUCCCACUUGCCUGAAAAGCACCAUAGCUUUUGCCACUGACAUGCCUUCCAUCACUGUGUAUGGUGUUCUAUUGGUGAGUGGAUGCAGAUCUACAUACAUCUCCAUUUCAUCUUUUGUCACAGCCACCUCCUCGAUCUUCCAUUCCCUCUCGGCCAACUCAACCGAGGUAAAUUUCUCUCUAACUUCCCACUCCUCUGUUCUUCUUUUCUCUCUUAGGAACCAUUUCUUUUUCAGCACCUGAAGAAGGUGAGCUCGAAGAAUUAGUCCAUGUACUGUUGCCCCAACUGCCAAUCCCAUUGGUGGCACCACUCCUUCUUCUACAACAGGGAAACCAUUGUGCGUGGUGUUUCUCAGGACCUCCACAAUACGAUCCACCUUUUCAAUUCCACGGAGGGUUACUACUGGCAGUUUGGCAUCAGCGAGCUCACCUACAGUCAGAUUUCUCAUCCACGGUUCUGGAUGUGCCUCCAAGAAAGGCAAACCUUUUAAGUGCAGUAUAAUCUCAUAGAUGCUUGGAUUGAAACUGUCUCCAACAGUUUUGGCAAUUAGAAGGACAAGCAUUGUUAUGGGUAGUAAGAGGAGGUUGUUGGUGAGCUCAAGAAAUAUGACACAUAACGAAACAGUCAUCCUCAUUGACCCUGCCAUUAGGGAAGCUGCACCAAGAACAGCGAAAAGCCCCUGGUCAAUGCUCGUAUAUGAUUGCAUGGCAAUUCCAAGCAGACGGCCAUAAGCUGAGCCCAUAAGGAUGAUGGGGAGGAACAGUCCAGACGGCACAGCGAUUCCAAAGGUAAACAAUCCUAAGAUGCAAUAUAGUACGAAGAAGAUUAGGAGGGAUAAAGGAUGAUACUCAGUAGAAGUGUUUGUCGAAAAGAUGUUUCGAACUGCAUCAUCAUUAGUGGCAAGGAGAAGAGUAGCUAGGUCAUUGUAGUGGCCAUCUGGGCAGUUGAACUUUUUGUAGUUUCCAGAUCCUUCAUUGGUGGGACAGGCAGACUCCGAAAGAGAGGAGUCACAGGGUGUACAUUCGACAAGGAAAGGGAGACCGUAUAGGCAUCCAGAAGUAAAGAGUGAUACAGUGAGACUGAGGAGGAUCUUGAGAACUUUCCCCUUCCUGCCAGAAGAGUAAAUCAAGAAGUAAUUAGUAUCGAAUCGACAUCGUGUUGUGUCAGUUUUCGUAUUUGGUUUAGGGUUGCUUACUGAUUUAUGAGGUUGUAUAGUCUGAGAAUCUUGUGGAGAAGAUAGUUGUACAGGCUUCCCAAAACUCCACCAAUAAUGCCAAUUACAGCUACGGGGAUGAUAUCCCACGCAUUGUAUGUCACAGUAACAGUGCUUACGUCGAACAUGAUAAGCCCUCCUUUCCCGAAAAGCCCACAUUCCCCAGAAUUGCAUAUUUCGAUAAAAGCUCUAAGCACCACCACCACAAUAGCUGUGCUGAAGAAAGUUCUCCAGAGAAGGGCACUCCUCCACCAUGUUGCCACCUCUUCAAGGGCAAACAGUACACCACCCACAGGAGCUCGGAAAGCUGCACAUACCCCAGAGGCAGCGCCACAGGUAAUGAGAUCUCUGCGGUCACGAUCAUUGUUGAAGUAGCGGAGCCAGCACCAUUUAAUACGGUAAUUGUCAGGUCCCCCUUGACCUAAUAAGGAAGCAAUGCAGCUUCCAAUGUGCACAAGAGGCCCUUCUUUUCCAAGAUCUAGGCCUGCAGAAACAGCCCCAAUGCUUCCGAAUAUCUGCAGGAUGAAAGUUUUUCGUGCCACUUGGCUUAAUAAAUUAUGACAUACUUUCCUAAGAAGUCACUGAAAUUAAAUGCAAACAAUGUUCAAUUUGCAAAAGAAAAUCCACCUUGACAAUCAUUGUUGUCGCACCAAACAUAUUCGGUGUGUCAACUCCGUUGAGAUAUGCUUUGAUUUCAGGUAUACCAGGUCCAGCUGCAGUCGGAGCAAAGCACACGCAGAGAACAGAAGCAAUAGCGGUCAGUAGAAGAUUGGCCCCAGCUAUAAAGAUGAACCCCAUCAGUAGCUGAAUACGACAUUGAAAGUUCGGUAGAAAUACAGGGGAAUACAACAAACCUCUCUUUCUCUAUGAAACUAACCGCGGCAAGAAGCUUGUAGCCGGCAAUAUUCUCAACAGCGAGGUUAAUGAGGGUGGCAAUUAUACCAGUUAGAAGUCCAACAAGGCAGGCAAG